GGGGAGCAGCCAGCAGUCUUAUGCUACCACUGUGGCUCAUCCUGCGACCUGAGAGAAACCUGGGCAACUGUGAGCACCAGAGGCCAAGUCCUGGACAGUCUUUAGGCCAUGUUGGAACUACAUUUGGAAAGGUGGUUGUUAAACAUUUCCCAGCACACACCUGGAUCUGCAUCUGCUGUGUCAAUUGAACCACUCACUGGUUCUGUGACCUCAGGCAAGUCAUUUAAAUUAUAAGCCUUGGUUUUAUCCUCCACAGAAUACUUCCUCCUAAAAUGUGUUGUGAAAAUUAGAAUAGAUGAAGGCACCCUUGAAAAGAUGACUGAUGCGGUUGGUUGCCCCACCACUUCCUACUACUUGGCAGAGCCUCCUCGUUGGCAGAUCCUUCUCUCACUAGAGCAUGUAUAUGGAUGCAUGCUCUCUCACCCUCCCUUGUAGCUUAGAGCAGAGCAUACCAAUCUAUGUGCCAGCAUACCCUGGUAUGUCUCAGAUGGGUCAUAGAUGUGAUAAGGUAUGGAUCCCUUAAGCCCUUGGGACAUUCAAGUGAGGCUGAGCUGCUGAAGCCCUGGGAUGGUAUGACUGGCCACAAGCAACAUUACCCAGGUACCCCUCUGUGUCACAAAAACGUUAUCUUUGUAUUUGUGUCAUGGUGUGAAAAAAUUGAGAAGCACUGCCUGGGGACAUAGUGAGGUAGCCCAAUUCUGGAUAAAGGAAAUUGAGAAGUCUUGAGGGGGUAGAGAGGUUUUCUUCCCUAAUAAGAAGAAUCACAGGAGAGAAAAUGCCUUCCUCAGCCAUAUGUUGUUAUUUCUAUAUGUGAGCCUGGAAUUUCAAGGUUAUCUUGCAAAGAACCAAGGCAAUGUAGAGAAAAGAAUUGAUAGCAAGUGGCUGGAUCUUUCACAUUGUAAAGCCAUUGAGCCAUCCGUGCAAUUGCCCACCUUGGGAAUUUAUUUUUAAGAGUGAUAAUAAAUGCUCCUCAUUGUUUAAACUACUUUGAUUUUUGUAUUUGGUUAUUCAUAAUUAAAAACACCCAAAUACAGUAGAAGAACUGGUACAUCCCUGACACCUAAUGAGUGCUCAAUAUGGUUAGUUAAUCACCAAAUUAGAUCCUUUGCCUUUAGAAAAGCUGCCAUGGUCAAAUGUGUGUUGAUCUUAUUUUUCGUAAAUAUUUAAGAAAUUUGUUCAGUAACUAGCUUAACUUUUAAUAUUUAUCUUGAGUCUCUUCUAAAUAUGUUUUUACUGUAUAAUAAAAGCAAUAAUUGAAAAAUGACAUCAUUUUAAGCUUGAGAGCAACUAGAUACAAAGAUGUUGAUAUGCAUUUUCUCUUCUUGAAGGAUCUAGACAAACUGGAGCACCAUUACAUGAAAAAGGUUAAAGAAUCAAUGUUUUGCAAAAUAGAACUGGAAUUAAUUCAUGGGAAUUACAGAGAAGAUCAUAUUAGUUCAAUAUAAAAAGAGGGCCUAGAAUGUGCCAAGCUCCAUACAAUGCCCCUCAUGAGUGUUAUUUAAUUCUCACAACAACUUUGCAAAAAAGAAACUAUUUUUUUUUCCAUUUUACAAAGGAGGAAGCUAAGGCUGUGAAAAAGAGCUCUUUUGCAAGCCUAGGACCUGAUUCCAAAAUUCCCACUCUUUCUGUUGCAAAUUCUGGCUAAGCUUUCCAGAGAUGACUUGCUUUCCCCUUGAGGCCCUUUCAGUGCAUUGUGCCAUGGAAAACAAAAAGCCCAACAAUGACAUCUUUACCAAAGAUGCCUUGGGGAGAUGGGAGAAGAGUUACAAUGCACAUUACACAGCAAAAUCUUUUUUAAGCUCCAAGUAAAAUUGGUUUUUUCUUAGAGUUUUGCUUCCAGCAGUCACUUCCUCCAUUCUCCUGCUCUCUCCACGUGAGGAAAACUUCUAUCCUGCCUUCUCCUAAUACACUUUCCUGUUUUUUUUUUCCUGCACAUUUCUUAAAAAUCCCACAUAAGGCAAAAGCCAAGACAAUAUCCAUCAACACCUCCACCCCCACCGCAUGUCCAUGGAGAGCUUCAAGUCAUCCUGCCGCUGGUACAAACACGGCAGAGGCCUCUUUGUAAAGAAGUGGUAGGUAGAAUUCAGGUUAGCACCAGAAUCUGAAAACUCCAGCUCCUUUGACUGGGACCAGGCUGGUAAUAUAAAUGUUAGAUCAGGCUGGGUCUGACACAAUGGGGAUCAGUAGAGCAUACUUGUCACAUUUGAAGGCAUUCAGAAAAAUAAUAACCUUAAAACAUUCUAAACAUGUUGCAAUCAAAGAGGAUACCCCUUGACCACUGCACGAAUUGGAGUUCAAAGAUCAUCUCUCUUUUGCCUAGGCUGUAGACUAGUUAUUUAACCUCUCUCAGACUUGGUUUCCUCUUCUGGAACAGGGUAUAUCAACUACCUUGCAGAAAUAAAUGACAUCCUGUACACAAUGCACCUACCACGUUGCCUGACCCAAUAAUGUGUACAUACAUAAGAAAAUGUUCAUGCCCUUUGCUCACUUUAAAAUUUUUUUUUCUUGUAUAUUUGUUUAAGUUCUUCGUAGACUCUGGAAUGGAGCUGGAAGCUGUCAUCCUCAGCACACUAACGCAGGAACAGAAAACCAAGCACUGCAUGUUCCCACUUAUAAGUGAGAGCUGAACGAGCAGAACACAUGGACAUAUGAAGGGGAACAACACACUCUGGGGCCUGUGAGGUGCAGGGAGAGCAUCAAGAAGAACAGCUAAUGGGUGCUGGGCUUAAUACCUGGGUGAUGGGUUGAUCUGUGCGGCAAACCACCAUGGCACACAUUUACCUAUGUAACAAACCUUGACAUCCUGCACAUGUACCCCGGAACUUAAAAAUAAAAGUUGACAAAAAGAAA
rnacentral:lncRNA from 1 species